GACUCGAUGGCGGAUGGUCCGCACCUGCUUUCGUUGGCUGUCCGAGAACGUCAUUUACGAGCAGGAAAUGCCGGUUCGAUUCCGGCUCGAGUCU